AACGAACGCUGGCGGCAGGCUUAACACAUGCAAGUCGAGCGCCCCGCAAGGGGAGCGGCAGACGGGUGAGUAACGCGUGGGAAUCUACCUUUUGCUACGGAAUAACUCAGGGAAACUGGUGCUAAUACCGUAUGUGCCCUUCGGGGGAAAGAUUUAUCGGCAGAGGAGGAGCCCGCGUUGGAUUAGGUAGUUGGUGGGGUAAUGGCCUACCAAGCCGACGAUCCGUAGCUGGUCUGAGAGGAUGAUCAGCCACAUUGGGACUGAGACACGGCCCAAACUCCUACGGGAGGCAGCAGUGGGGAAUAUUGGACAAUGGGCGCAAGCCUGAUCCAGCCAUACCGCGUGAGUGAUGAAGGCCCUAGGGUUGUAAAGCUCUUUCACCGGUGAAGAUAAUGACGGUAACCGGAGAAGAAGCCCCGGCUAACUUCGUGCCAGCCGCCGCAGUAA
rnacentral:rRNA from 1 species